AAUGAACGUUGGCGGCGUGGAUUAGGCAUGCAAGUCGAGCGAGAAUUUGCGAUUGGAAGCUUCGGCCGAAGAAAGUGAAGGAAAGCGGCAAACGGCGUAGUAAGGCGUAGGUACGUACCCUCGGGUCGGGAAUAGCCAUGGGAAACUGUGGGUAAUGCCCGAUAAUCUCUGCGGAGCAAAGGUGUGAUUCCGCCGGAGGAGCGGCUUACGUGAUAUUAGCUAGUUGGUGGGGUAAUGGCCUACCAAGGCAACGAUGUCUAGGGGGUGUGAGAGCAUGGCCCCCACGACCGGAACUGAGACACUGUCCGGACACCUACGGGUGGCUGCAGUCGAGAAUCUUCCGCAAUGGGCGAAAGCCUGACGGAGCGACGCCGCGUGGUGGAUGAAGGCCCUUGGGUUGUAAACACCUAUCAGAGGGGAUGAAAUCAUGGUUGGCAAUCCUUCCAUGUUGACAGAGCCUCAGAGGAAGCACGGGCUAAGUACGUGCCAGCAGCCG
rnacentral:rRNA from 1 species